rnacentral:rRNA from 1 species
AUUGAACGCUGGCGGCAUGCUUUACACAUGCAAGUCGAACGGUAACAGGCCGCAAGGUGCUGACGAGUGGCGAACGGGUGAGUAAUGCAUCGGAACGUGCCCAGUCGUGGGGGACAACGCAGCGAAAGCUGCGCUAAUACCGCAUACGAUCUAUGGAUGAAAGCGGGGGACCGUAAGGCCUCGCGCGAUUGGAGCGGCCGAUGUCAGAUUAGGUAGUUGGUGGGGUAAAGGCUCACCAAGCCAACGAUCUGUAGCUGGUCUGAGAGGACGACCAGCCACACUGGGACUGAGACACGGCCCAGACUCCUACGGGAGGCAGCAGUGGGGAAUUUUGGACAAUGGGCGCAAGCCUGAUCCAGCAAUGCCGCGUGCAGGAAGAAGGCCUUCGGGUUGUAAACUGCUUUUGUACGGAACGAAACGGCUCUGGUUAAUACCUGGGGCUAAUGACGGUACCGUAAGAAUAAGCACCGGCUAACUACGUGCCAGCCGCCGCAGUAAGAC